UGAAGGUGAUUAGGUAAGCGUUGCCAUAUGUCCUACCAUUACAGUGCUAUACCACAAUUCCGGGAACUUUUUGACUGCCCCUCGUAUAGAGGACAGCUCGAGGAGCUGGGCUGACAUUCGUAUGUGGAGCUGAAGAGAUUAGCACAGGACAAGAACCGGUGGAGAGCUGCUGCCAACCAACCGCAAGGUUGACAACCUAAGAAGAGAAGACAGAACCCAUCUAGUAAUGUUUAUACACAAAAUUUCAGUUGCUGAUACGUCGUGCAAGGGUGUGAAAAAAACUGCUCAAAAUUCGAAUGUACAUUUAAAAUUCGCGCCAUGACGCACGCGUUGAUGGCAGUGCGCCUAGCAGUGCCACGGUAUUCACCGGUACAUUGCAACGGAGAGCGUUGACCAGCCGCUGAGAGGGCUGUAAAGAAAUCUGCUGCCUGCCGGCGCAAUGACGGCUAGCAGGGAUAUUUGCGAGGUGUGCAACAAGGCUUUCUACGGAAAUCAGAAUUAUAUUAGAUGUCGUGGGCCAUGUGCUUCUCGUUUUAUUUGACUUGCUUGAAAAUUAGUGAGGUCGAAUACUAUUUUUUUUGUAUGAUGGUGUUUCCACCUACAAGUGUGCAAAGUGUGUCAAGGCGCUUCGCCGUAUUAGAGGUGAAUAUACACCUCCACAGAACUUGCGUUUCGCCUCUGCUUCAGAGCUUGUUAAGAAGGCAGUGUCUCCUGAAAAGGAACCGAUUCUGCCAGACGCUGGGGAUUCUGACUCUCGUUGGUAAGCUGGAGAUGGUGCGGCUCAAUGGAGUUAGCAUGCAUAAUCUCGUGGAAAACUUGGUGCAGUUGGUCCUCAAACUUUCUGAGUAUUGCAGCAGCUGUGCAAAGACAACGAAUAUUUGAAGCAGCAUUUGAGUAGCAUUACUGCCGGAGUCUCUGACUCUGCGGAUAGUUCUAAAUCAACAAGACAAGGAUUUUCAACCGUUCCGUCGCGCAAAGUUGCUGUGCCAUCAGACAACUCUACUUCGACCUGUGCUGCUGAGGCGGGCGUUAAAUCUUACAAGGACGUCGCACUCAAUGGUAUUUAUAGCGUGCUUGUGUUGUUGCUCUCUUGGCUCUCAAGGUUUCGGUCUUCAAGUCGUGCAAGUUCUGUUCGCAAAGUUUCAGUACAUAAACAGCCGAUAUAUUGCACUGCCUAAAUAUCAACACAAUUGUCUUUUGCAUCAGUGUGUUUAAAUUCGUGAAUAAAUUGAGUGAUUUCAAUAACAACAACAACAACUGUGUCGUUACCAAUUGCACCAGCUCAACGACUUCGCUACCCUCACGCGAGCGCAGCUCCAAUUAAGGCCUCCCCUGUAUAUUCCCUGAGAGUCGGAGAUCUUUGCCCACCGACUAACCCAAUAUCAAAGUAUCCCGAGAAAACCUUUAACUCCUUCCGUGCACCGAAGUGUGAAAAGUUGUAACCGCAUCAGAGCCGGGCAAGCUACUGUGUUUGAAUCCGUGGCGACAUCAGUAGAAAGACGAGUCGUGUGUGGAAGGGCGGUUACAGUGUUUUGGCGCCCCACGUGGGACAUCGAAGGGAAAAGUCGAUGUCACCAUACCCGCAAGGUGAAAGUGAAAUAACCUGAAGGAAUACAUCGCCCAAGGCACGUGGGAGAGUAAGCAGCCCGGCAACGCAGAACUUCGAGGAGAAGAAUUCGCCACCGGCAGACCUGUAUUCGGAGUGUGUACGUUCCGAGGAGAGAUCUUUGAUACGUUGGAGAAGGCCCGAACUUCGGAUGUCGAGACGCGUGGCAACGUCGCAUCGACCGACCACAUGGGCGUGUAGGACACUCGGCUGACAGACGGGACACCAAGGCUACAAGGUUUGAGACCUGUUAUAUCUGAGUGCUGCUGCAGAAAGUCAGCAACAAAUCCCUUAACAAUGGCGAACCGUUCCCUCCGUAGCAAAAGGGAGGCUGAAUGCGACGAAGUGAGCGAAAGUGAAUUAAUUGAAAAGGUAGAAAGACGCCCUGCUCUUUAUGACAAAAAAUUAAAAGAUUAUGCAAACAUCAAUGUUAAAAGAGAACUUUGGCAAGAGAUUUGUUCAGUUGUGGUGCCAGGUUGGAGCGAAUUGUCGCCCGAAAAUAAAACUGAAGCAGGUCGAGACAUACAAAAGAAGUGGCAGAAUUUAAGAUCAUGUUUAGCAGAGAGCUUCGCGCCCAGAAACAGACCAAGUCCGGCCAAUCAGCAUCGAAGAGGAGGAAAUAUAUAUAUUUUGAAAAAUUGUUAUUUUUACUUCCCACAAUGGAAUAUAGAUCAACGGAAACAAAAGUAAUAUCAGAUGACGAUGACGAUGACGAUGAAGAAGAGGGAAUCGAUCACGUAAACGAGGCUGAAAACAGAUCACAAUCUUCCAGGGAAGAAAAAAAGAAACAACAAACAAGAAACAAGCAGAAGCCAUUCGAGGAAUCUUUACUUAACAUUUUGAGUUCAAGAAAUACCGACGACGAAGAUGUCCACCUCGCACUUUCCUUAGUUCCUU